AGGCGCUGCGUUGGAAUGAGUAGAAUUUAAAUCUCUUUACGACCAUCAAUUGGAGGGCAAGUCUGGUGCCAGCAGCCGCGGUAAUUCCAGCUCCAAUAGCGUAUAUUAAAGUUGUUGCGGUUAAAAAGCUCGUAGUUGGAUUUCUGUCUAGGGUGGCCGGUACCCACUAUGUGAAGUAUCUGGUUCAGUCUGGGCAUCCUCUUGGGGAUCGUUCCUGUGCUUGAUUGCAUGGGGCGGAAUUCAAGACUUUUACUUUGAGGAAAUUAGAGUGUUCACGGCAAGCUUUCGCUUUGAAUACAUUAGCAUGGAAUAAUGAUAUAGGGCAUAAGUUCUAUUUUGUUGGUUUCUAGAACAUAUGCAAUGAUUAAUAGGGAUAAUUGGGGGCACUCGUAUUAACGCGUCAGAGGUGGAAUUCUUAGAUUGCGUUACGACGAACUACUGCGAAAGCAUUUGCCAAGGAUGUUUUCAUUGAUCAAGAACGAAAGUAUGGGGAUCGAAGACGAUUAGAUACCGUCGUAGUCUAUACCAUAAACUAUGCCAACUAGAGAUUGGAGGUCGUUUUUUUUAUGACUCCUUCAGCACCUUAUGAGAAAUCAAAGUUUUUGGGUUCCGGGGGGAGUAUGGUCGCAA
rnacentral:rRNA from 1 species